UACGAAGGGGGCUAGCGUUGCUCGGAAUCACUGGGCGUAAAGCGCACGUAGGCGGAUUGUUAAGUCAGGGGUGAAAUCCUGGAGCUCAACUCCAGAACUGCCUUUGAUACUGGCGAUCUUGAGUCCGGGAGAGGUGAGUGGAACUGCGAGUGUAGAGGUGAAAUUCGUAGAUAUUCGCAAGAACACCAGUGGCGAAGGCGGACUCACUGGCCCGGUACUGACGCUGAGGUGCGAAAGCGUGGGGAGCAAACAGGAUUAGAAACCCCAGUGAGCUACCUC
rnacentral:rRNA from 1 species